rnacentral:rRNA from 1 species
GACGAACGCUGGCGGCGUGCCUAAUACAUGCAAGUCGAGCGAACCCGGGGUGCUUGCACCCUGAGGGUUAGCGGCGGACGGGUGAGUAACACGUGGGGAACCUGCCUUGCUGUCUGGGAUAACACCGGGAAACCGGUGCUAAUACCGGAUGUCCCCUUUCCGGCACCUGCCGGAGAGGGAAAAGACGGCUUUGAGCCGCCGCAGCAAGAGGGGCCCGCGGCGCAUUAGUUAGUUGGCAGGGUAACGGCCUCCCAAGGCGACGAUGCGUAGCCGACCUGAGAGGGUGAUCGGCCACACUGGGACUGAGACACGGCCCAGACUCCUACGGGAGGCAGCAGUAGGGAAUCAUCCGCAGUGGACGAAAGUCUGACGGUGCAACGCCGCGUGAGUGAUGAAGGUUUUCGGAUCGUAAAGCUCUGUUGUGAGGGAAGAAUAGGAUGGGGAGGAAAUGCCCGAUCUGUGACGGUACCUCACCAGAAAGCCCCGGCUAACUACGUGCCAGCCGCCGCAGUAA